GCAUCAAGAUUAGCACUAUCUCCAAAACUGAUCAAACCGAGCUUCCACUUGAGCCUCUUCACCAAAGUACCAACAGGUGCUUCCAAAAUGGUUUCUUAGACUAUGGUGCAUUAGUCACAAACCAUGCACAUAUUUUGCACCGAAACUAACACUGUUUCUAAAUAGACCAAAGCGAGAUUCCAUAUGACACACGUCAUCAAGGAGUCCCAUCAGGUGCAUCCAAAUUGAUUUCCAAGCAUAUGGUAUGUUCCAUGCAAACCGUGCACCUAUCUUGCAUCAAGACUAGCACUGUCUCCAAACAGACCGAAACGAGGUUCCACUUGAGCCUCUUCAUCUAGGUGUAGAAACACGUGCGUCGAAAAUGGUUUCUUAGACUACGGUGCAUUAGGCACAAACUAUGCACCUAUCUUGCACUGAAACUAACAUUGUCUCCAAAUAGACCGAAGCGAGAUUCCAUAUGACACACAUUAUCUUGGAGUUCCAUUGGGUGCGUCCAAAUUGAUUUAUUAACAUAUGGUACGUUCCAUGCAAACUGUGCAACUAUAUUACAUAAAAAUUAACACUAUAUCCAGGCAGACCAAAUCGAGCCUCCACUUGAGCCUCUUCAACUACGAGUACAAUCGGGUGCGUCUAAAAUGGUUUCUUAGCCUAUUGUGCAUUAGGCGUAAACCGUGCACAUAUCUUCUACCAAAAUUAAAACUUUCUCUAAACGAACCAAAGCAAGAUUUCAAAUGACACACAUUAUCAAGGACUUAUAUCAGGUAGGUCCUAAUUGAUUUCUGAGCAUAUCGUAUCUCCAAAUAGACCAAACCGGGCUUUCACUUGAGCCCCUUGACCUAGGAGUACCAUCGGGUGUGUCCAAAAUAGUUUCUUAACUGUAACGCCUGAGGGAAAAUAGAUAAAGAAAAAAAAGGUAAAAAAUAAAAAAAAAUAAAAAAUACUGUAGCCGGCGCUACAGUACCUGCGGUGUACAGUACCACGCCCGACCCUUCUCCUACCCUGAGUCGGUGUUUUCCCUGUUCCUCGCAACCUGGUCACGAACCGCCGCCAUCCUACCUACAAAAUUCACGAAAGAGAGAAAGGUGAAGAGGGAAGAGGAGGAGAGGGCCUAGGGUUUUGCCACCGCUGUCGCAGCCGCCGCCGUCGUCGGUCAACCGUGGUGGUCGUUCUUCCUCCCGUGCAAAUUACGGUUAGGUUCUACCACGUAUCUUGGCUUUCCCAUUGAUCCACCAUGUCCCUUUGCUGUCCAUGAGGGCUUAGCCAUGUUUGGCGUAGAUCAGAAUAACAAGGCUUUGUGGCGGCAAGGAUCGUGGUGAGUUGGAUCGGAGAUGAUGGAAAGGUGAAGAGGCGGAGAAGAAGGAGUAGACACCGAGAGUUUUUGCGUCGUGCUCGCUGUGGUUCUCUAGGUGAGAAGCCAAAUAUUAAUCCUCUUCAUCUGAUCAAGUUUUGUGGAUUAAAUAACUUAUUUGGGAUAAGAAAACAGUGGCAGAGUAUGAGGUGGGCUUCAACAAGAUUGUUCGCUUUGUUCCACAUGUGGCCCGUAAUGAGGUAGAGAAGGCAAGCCAGUUUCGUCAGGGUUUGAAACCAUCGAUAAGGCACACUUUGGGGGCCUUUCCACUGGUGGAUUUUUGCACCACUGUGGAGCAGGCUCUAGGUGU
rnacentral:lncRNA from 1 species